ACCUACGGGGCGCAGCAGUAGGGAAUCUUCCACAAUGGGCGAAAGCCUGAUGGAGCAACGCCGCGUGGGUGAGGAAGGUCUUCGGAUCGUAAAACCCUGUUGUUAGAGAAGAAAGUGCGUGAGAGUAACUGUUCACGUUUCGACGGUAUCUAACCAGAAAGCCACGGCUAACUACGUGCCAGCAGCCGCGGUAAUACGUAGGUGGCAAGCGUUAUCCGGAUUUAUUGGGCGUAAAGAGAACGCAGGCAGUCUUUUAAGUCUGAUGUGAAAGCCUUCGGCUUAACCGGAGUAGUGCAUUGGAAACU
rnacentral:rRNA from 1 species